rnacentral:rRNA from 1 species
UUUAAUUCGACGCAACGCGAAGAACCUUACCAGGGUUUGACAUCCACUGAAAGCCUAAGAGAUUAGGCCGGCCCCCUUUCGGGGGACAGUGAGACAGGUGGUGCAUGGCUGUCGUCAGCUCGUGUCGUGAGAUGUUGGGUUAAGUCCCGCAACGAGCGCAACCCUUAUCCUGUGUUACCAGCGUGAAAGACGGGGACUCACAGGAGACUGCCGCCGACAAGGCGGAGGAAGGCGGGGAUGACGUCAAGUCAUCAUGCCCCUUAUGUCCUGGGCUACACACGUACUACAAUGGGUGCGAACAGAGGGCAGCAAUCCCGCGAGGGGGAGCCAAUCCCACAAAAGCACUCUCAGUUCGGAUCGCAGGCUGCAACUCGCCUGCGUGAAGUCGGAAUCGCUAGUAAUCGCAGAUCAGCAGGCUGCGGUGAAUACGUUCCCGGGCCUU